rnacentral:rRNA from 1 species
GACGAACGCUGGCGGCGUGCCUAACACAUGCAAGUCGAGCGAUGAAGUUUCCUUCGGGAAAUGGAUUAGCGGCGGACGGGUGAGUAACACGUGGGUAACCUGCCUCAUAGAGGGGAAUAGCCUCCCGAAAGAGAGAUUAAUACCGCAUAAUAUUACAGUUUCGCAUGAAACAGUAAUUAAAGGAGCAAUCCGCUACGAGAUGGACCCGCGGCGCAUUAGCUAGUUGGUGAGGUAACGGCUCACCAAGGCGACGAUGCGUAGCCGACCUGAGAGGGUGAUCGGCCACAUUGGGACUGAGACACGGCCCAGACUCCUACGGGAGGCAGCAGUGGGGAAUAUUGCACAAUGGGGGAAACCCUGAUGCAGCAACGCCGCGUGAGUGAUGACGGUCUUCAGAUUGUAAAGCUCUGUCUUUGGGGACGAUAAUGACGGUACCCAAGGAGGAAGCCACGGCUAACUACGUGCCAGCCGCCGCAGUAACAC